CUUGUCCUCAAGCGUGGAGCUCACAGGGCACUGAGGAGGGUUUGUAACAUGGGGAGAAGGUGAAGGUGACUCAUGUUGGGAUCCUCUUCUGCAAUCUGGACUCCUUUGACAUUCAUUAUGCAU
rnacentral:precursor_RNA from 7 species